CAUGAACUUGUCAGCACCAAUUUGAACGUUGAAUGCUGUGGUCAGCCAGGGCUGUGCCGAGGAGUGGCAGCUUCCCCUUUUUGCCCCUGAGGCUGUACCUGCUCCACACCUCAUUGGUGGCCAUAGCCCGCAUCACCCUCCGGGCACACUCUCCAGGGCUGGAGCCACCAAUGAGGCUCAGAUGGUGGAUCUAGGAUAUCAACCAGAAUCAACAAGGAACUCCAGCACAGUUAGGCGCUCCUCGAUGUUUUGGAGUUCUUCCAAAGUUUGGGAGACCCCAAGGUCGAGCACACUGCUGUCCUGUCC